GUUUUAUAUUCUUACUUAUGGCAUAUUGCACAUUCAACAUGCGUUAAUCUUAGUAAGAUAUGUCACAUUUGAAGAGUAUCUGAAACCUUGUUUAACUGCAUGUUAUUAUUUGUUGUAAAAAUUAUCAAACACAGUGUAGACAAUCCUGAUAUUUUAUACAUAAAUAGAAUAAGGUUGGUGUUGAACUAUUAAGGACUUUACGUUGAUCUCUGGAGUAUAACACAUAUUUAGGUACUAGUGGUCAUUGAACCGGUAGGCUUUCUGCCUUCGCAAAUUCUGCUUUUCCUAUUCGAGAACUUACUAAAUACCAGCCGUACAAAUAAUACUAUCAUUAUUUUAAACUGUCUUUAAAUCAAUCAACAUCAAAUUGAGAUUAUAUUGAAAACCGAUAUACAGGUGUGUUUAUCUCGUCUCGGGUUAUCCUUAAGGGAUGAGAUACUUCACCCAAAAAAUGUAAAGCAGUGAUACUUUUGAUUGCGGUUUACCUUAACACAGUGUCAGACUUCUUAUGUUAGGUCCCAAAAUAAUGAUAGUAUGUGUAAUGAAAAGGAAAUAUUUUGUAAAAGGUAAAAUAACAAAUAAAAAAAAACAUUUCAAACUCAAAUGCUCAAACACAUCAAACGAAUGGAAAACGACUGUCAUCUUCGUGAACUUUUACCGGUAUUUCCAUAUGUAGAAAAUGGGGGAUUAAACAAGUUUUGAAAGCUAACAAAAUAUCUCACUUGGAAGACAUUUGCAUAAAAUUCCAUUAUAUGACAACACUGUGUGAGCAAAACAAAUAGACAUAAUAGGUAAACAUUGGAGAGCAGCAGUUAAUAUUGUGUGAUAAAGUUUACCAAUAUAAAAUAAAACAAACUACCCCCCCCCCCCGAAAAAACAACAAAAAAAACAAAACAAAACCACUAUUUUUCUCUGAAAAGAAAAAUUCAGUACAAGGGCA
rnacentral:lncRNA from 1 species